UACGUAGGGUGCAAGCGUUGUCCGGAAUUAUUGGGCGUAAAGCGUCCGCAGGUGGCACUUCAAGUCUGUCGUCAAAGACCGGGGCUUAACCCUGGAAAGGCGAUGGAAACUGAAAGGCUAGAGAGAGGUAGGGGUAGAGGGAAUUCCCAGUGUAGCGGUGAAAUGCGUAGAGAUUGGGAAGAACAUCGGUGGCGAAAGCGCUCUACUGGACCUCAUCUGACACUCAGGGACGAAAGCUAGGGGAGCGAACAGG
rnacentral:rRNA from 1 species